rnacentral:lncRNA from 1 species
UUGGCAAGUCUUUAUGCAUAGCUCCGCCCAUUCAGGCAUUUAGAGGGCUCCCUUGCCUGGGGUCCUCUGUUGUUUGGCGCAUCAGGCACAUAGAGGGGCCCCCCUGCCUGGGGUCCUACUCUGUAGAUCGGCACAUUAGGCACUUGGAGAGGCACCCUGGGUGGGGUCCUGCUCUGUGGUUCAGUGCAUCAGGUGUUUGAUGGGCCAGCCUCUCUAUUGAUCAGCUGCUGAUGCUGGCAUGUGGAGAGAGAGAUGCUAUGGUGAUGGCUUCAUCCCCUAUGUGUGACUCAGCAGUAUGGCCUUGCUUCCAUGGCUGCCUGGCUUUCUUCCACAGGCAUUUCCCACCACCGUCUCCAUGCUCACAUCUCCUCGCUGUGUCUUGCACAGUCAACAGCAGCCCUCGCCCUGGGGUCGCUCCACAAUCCCCAAGCUCCAGCUCCCAGCCGAUGUGCCUUCCAGGGGACCUGCGUCCCUGUCUGGGGUUCAAGCCCCCACAGAGAUGAUGCUCCUCUUUGCCUUCCUCCUCUUCAUGGGAUGGCCACUGGGCUUCGUUGAGCCCUUCCUGGUUGCAGGUCAUGAGGCAUCUGAUCUUCAUCCAAAGACAGAUUACUGAGAUGAGCUUCAGAAACAAACUUAGGGUGUUCUUCAAGAAUUCAAUUAAAUUUUACAUUAACAUCACAUAACAGCAAAGAACUAUCUAAGAGAUGAGUCUUACUAGAUGCAGACCUCCAUUAACAAACAGGUAUUUAACAUUUCGAAAUAUCUUUUUUUUCCUUAAAGUUACCCUUAUUUUUAUUAAAUAUAACCAAAUUAAGGCUAGUUUGUUUGCAAAAUAGGUCUGUUUUUACUGAUUUUGGUCUAAUGAUUUUUAUAACCAUAAUUGAUUAUAGGCUUUUUAUUUUGCUGAAACAUUUAUAGAGUCUCAGACUGAACUUUUAAAAUAAAACAGGGCUGGGAAUCUCACACCAAAGGCUUAUCACAGAUUUUGCCUAACAAAUCUAGGUGAAUUUUUCCCUUUUUAAGGUCUCAAAAAUUUCUUGAGAUUUUUGUAUCCGUGAGAUAACCUUCCUAACUCAUUUGAUAAACUUACUGGGAACCUAAGAACUUCCAAUUUUUGGAGGAGUCAGAUAGAAAAUAUAAUUCUUUUGUUUAUAACGUUUAAUUUUACCAAAGUAUUGUCAUAAUUAGUUUGAGAGGAAGAUUUCCCCUACUCCCUGAAAACAUAAGAUUCAACCCCAUAAUUUUUCAGAUAGAAACCAUAAAAGUUAUAAGCAUAUUCACUGGUUCAUUCAGUCCUUUUGCUAACUUUUGUGAAGUUAUCAGGUUUUCCAUUAAAAUACCAGGACAUAUCAGAAUGUUAAAAACUCCGUAUAAUUUUUAGGAUAUCUGUAUUAGUAAUUUUACCCUACAUUAUAAUAUGAGCAGAU